AGAGUUUGAUCCUGGCUCAGGAUGAACGCUAGCGACAGGCUUAACACAUGCAAGUCGAGGGGCAGCGGGGUAGUGCUUGCACUACUGCCGGCGACCGGCGCACGGGUGAGUAACACGUAUGGAACCUGCCCGCAGCAGGGGGAUAAGCGGAAGAAAUUCCGUCUAAUACCGCGUAAGAACGUUGGGAGGCAUCUCCCGAUGUUUAAAGAUUUAUCGGCUGCGGAUGGCCAUGCGGCGCAUUAGCUAGUCGGCGGGGUAACGGCCCACCGAGGCGACGAUGCGUAGGGGUUCUGAGAGGAAGGUCCCCCACACUGGUACUGCGACACGGACCAGACUCCUACGGGAGGCAGCAGUGAGGAAUAUUGGUCAAUGGCCGAGAGGCUGAAUCAGCCAAGUCGCGUGAGGGAAGACGGCCCUACGGGUUGUAAACCUCUUUUGUCGGGGAGCAAAGCGAACCACGUGUGGUUCAUUGAGAGUACCCGAAGAAAAAGCAUCGGCUAACUCCGUGCCAGCAGCCGCGGUAAUACGGAGGAUGCGAGCGUUAUCCGGAUUUAUUGGGUUUAAAGGGUGCGCAGGCGGAGGUGCAAGUCAGCGGUCAAAUUGCGGGGCUCAACCCCGUACUGCCGUUGAAACUGCAUCCCUUGAGUGCGCGAGAAGUAUGCGGAAUGCGUGGUGUAGCGGUGAAAUGCAUAGAUAUCACGCAGAACUCCGAUUGCGAAGGCAGCAUACCGGCGCGCAACUGACGCUCAUGCACGAAAGCGUGGGUAUCGAACAGGAUUAGAUACCCUGGUAGUCCACGCAGUAAACGAAUGAACACUAACUGUUCGGCCAGAAUGAUGGCUGAGUGGUACAGCGAAAGCGUUAAGUGUUCCACCUGGGGAGUACGCCGGCAACGGUGAAACUCAAAGGAAUUGACGGGGGCCCGCACAAGCGGAGGAACAUGUGGUUUAAUUCGAUGAUACGCGAGGAACCUUACCCGGGCUCAAACGACACAGGAAUACUUUUGAAAGGAGGUAGCCCUACGGGGUCUGUGUCGAGGUGCUGCAUGGUUGUCGUCAGCUCGUGCCGUGAGGUGUCGGCUUAAGUGCCAUAACGAGCGCAACCCCUAUCGCCAGUUACCAUCAAGUAAAGUUGGGGACUCUGGCGAGACUGCCGGCGCAAGCUGAGAGGAAGGUGGGGAUGACGUCAAAUCAGCACGGCCCUUACGUCCGGGGCGACACACGUGUUACAAUGGCAGGUACAGAGAGAAGCCAGGUGGUGACACCGAGCGGAACUCGAAAGCCUGUCUCAGUUCGGGUCGGAGUCUGCAACCCGACUCCGUGAAGCUGGAUUCGCUAGUAAUCGCGCAUCAGCCAUGGCGCGGUGAAUACGAAGCCGGGCCUUGUACUCACCGCCCGUCA
rnacentral:rRNA from 1 species